rnacentral:lncRNA from 1 species
AUCUUGUCACAUCAUUCUUGUUAGAAAUUACACUUAUACCAUAUUUUCUCCAACACCAAUUUGUUAUAACAAAAGCAAAAAAGAUCUAGUUCGAUGGGUGUAAAAAUACCAAAUGAGAAUCGAGAAAGAGAGAAGAAAAAUAAAGCACACAAAUAUCUACGUGGUUCCGCCACUAGCCUAUAUCCACGAUGGAAGACGCUGUGAAGAUUUUCAUUAUUAUCAAAAUAAUGUACACAAUAUGUCUCUCUCACGAAACCCUAAUAUUAAAUAAUAUACUCAUAUUUCUCCUUACCUACCACACCAAAUUAAUGGAAUAAAGGAUAUAUAUAUUUACAAUAGUGGCUAAAUCCUAACAUAAUUAGGAAUACAAACCUAUUAAAACUAGAAAUAAUCUCAAUUAGAUUAGGCAUAAUCUAAACUUAACUUAAUAGGAUAACCAAAAUUGAAGAGUUAGAAAACUUUGUAGCUUCAGAAUUUGAGACAUAUCUAAUAAUCUCCUCUUUAACUUGAAUUAAUUCUAUGUCUUCUCCACCAAAACCCCAAAAGCUCCUGAAGUGUUGUGCAUGUGCGAACCAAGUUUAUGGAAUACUUGAACUUGAUCACCGAAAAAACCUUAAUAAACAAAUCCACAAAAUUCUCUAAAGUGUGAAUCUUCUUUUUCUCUAGAUAUGCCUUUCGCAACUCUAUUGCAUCAAAACGACAACUUGUCAUAGAGAGAAACUUCUAAGGCAAUCAAACUUCUCGACCUCAAACUUCGUUGACGUCUUAAACACCCAAACAAACAAUCUGGCUCUAAUACCAAUUUGUUAGAAAUCCACCACUUAUAUUGAUACCAUAUUUUCUCUGAUACCAAUUUCUUAUAACAAAAGCAAAAAAAAUCUAGUUCGUCAGGCGCAAAAAUACCAAAAGAGUAAUGAGGAAGAGAGAAGAAAAAUAAAACAAAUAAAUAUUUAGGGUUAAUUUCAUACAGGUCCCUGUAAAUAUAGUAAAUUAUAAAUAUAUCUCUACAAAGUUCAACUUUUAUAUAUUGUCGCUGCAAAAGUCCUAAUAUUUUCCAAUAUGUCCCUGUCGUUAGAAUCCAUUAGAAAACUUUAGUUAACCAUAGGUUAAAUACUUAAUCCUGGUUAGUUUAUGAGAUAACUUGACAUUUAUGCCUCUCUUAUAUUAUAUUGUUACAACUUUUGGAGGGACAUAUUUGUGAUGGCAAAAUUGACAUUUCAUUUAAAAUAUAAACAGUUCUAUGGUAACAAAUCAAAGGGAUAAAUUUGAAAAUAUUAGAACUUUUGUAAGGAUAACAUAUAAAAGUUGAACUUUGAAGGGAUAUAUUUGCAAUUCACUAUGUUUGUAGGGACCUAUAUGCGUUUAAUCCAAAUAUUUAUAUGGUUCGGCCACUGACCUACAUUCACGGACGAAGAUGCAGUGAAGAUUUUCAUUAUAAUCAAAGUGUUGUACAAAAUUUGCCUCUCUUACAAAACUCUGGUCCCAAAAAUUAUAUCGAUACUCCUCAUCCGCACCAAAUUAAUGGAAUAAAGGAUAUAUUUAUAAUAGUAACUAAAUUCUAAUAUAAUUAGAAAUAAAAGUCCACUAAAACUAUGAAUAAUCUCACUUAGAUUAAGCAUAAUCUAAACUUAACUUAAUGGAUAAAUAAAACUGAAUAAGGUUACAAAACCUUGCUGUUCCAGAAUCCUAAACAUAUCUAACAAUUCUUAAUGUCAAGAACAAACAUCCUUGUUUUCGACAUCUCAACUUGAACAAUUAAAUCAUUAAAAUUAUUUUU